AACGCGUAUGCAAUCUGCCUUGUACAGGAGGAUAGCCCGGAGAAAUUCGGAUUAAUACUCCAUAGCACUAUCGAAUCGCAUGAUUUGAUAUUUAAAACUUCGGUGGUACAAGAUGAGCAUGCGUCCUAUUAGCUAGUUGGUGAGGUAACUGCUCACCAAGGCGACGAUAGGUAGGGGGUCUGAGAGGAUUAUCCCCCACACUGGUACUGAGACACGGACCAGACUCCUACGGGAGGCAGCAGUGAGGAAUAUUGGUCAAUGGACGCAAGUCUGAACCAGCCAUGCCGCGUGCAGGAAGAAUGCCCUAUGGGUUGUAAACUGCUUUUAUUUGGGAAGAAACCUCUUUACGUGUAGAGAGCUGACGGUACCAAACGAAUAAGCACCGGCUAACUCCGUGCCAGCAGCCGCGGUAAUACGGAGGGUGCAAGCGUUAUCCCGGAAUCAUUGGGUUUAAAGGGUCCGCAGGCGGGCUUAUAAGUCAGUGGUGAAAUCUCUCGGCUCAACCGAGAAACUGCCAUUGAUACUGUAGGUCUUGAAUUCGGGCGAAGUGGGCGGAAUGAGUAGUGUAGCGGUGAAAUGCAUAGAUAUUACUCAGAACACCGAUAGCGAAGGCAGCUCACUAGGCCCUG
rnacentral:rRNA from 1 species